rnacentral:rRNA from 1 species
UACGAAGGGGGCUAGCGUUGCUCGGAAUCACUGGGCGUAAAGCGCACGUAGGCGGAUCUUUAAGUCAGGGGUGAAAUCCUGGAGCUCAACUCCAGAACUGCCUUUGAUACUGAGGAUCUUGAGUCCGGGAGAGGUGAGUGGAACUCCGAGUGUAGAGGUGAAAUUCGUAGAUAUUCGGAAGAACACCAGUGGCGAAGGCGGCUCACUGGCCCGAUACUGACGCUGAGGCACGAAAGCGUGGGGAGCAAACAGGG